CAGAGGGCAGAGAGAAGCACAAAGUGAGGACACAAGAAAAGCAGCUCUGCACCCAAACACUCUGCAGUCAAGACACCUCCUGGCCCACAUUGCAGGGCCCAGCUCAAAGCCCAGUAGCCUCCUCAGCCAAGUCCAAGCCUCUCUCUGUCUGCACAAGACCUUCUCUCCCCUGCCCUCUCCCAGCACAAGCAGGUCCAAGCCCUGCACUACGACAGCCCCUCUCAGCUGAGACCUCCAGCCAGGCAAGAGCUGCUCUCUGGAAGCAGCAGAACAGGCUUUGCACUCACCUGAUUCCUGAGGAGGAGGAGGUGAGAGAAGUG